CAUAAUGUGAUGACAGAGACAUGAUAUUUCCAUUGUACAUGCAUAGAGAGUCUGCGGCUGGUGUAAGCGGAUAUUGUCAUGGUUAUAUUACCACUCUUAAACAGGAAAACAGAAUUAAGUAUGUUUUCACGGUUGACUGCGUUAUAAGUUAUUUAAGCGGAGUACUAGCUCUAAUUUGGGUGGAACCACGGAAUUAAACUUUCGUCCCUUGU
rnacentral:ncRNA from 1 species